UACGAAGGGUGCAAGCGUUACUCGGAAUUACUGGGCGUAAAGCGUGCGUAGGCGGUUUGUUAAGUCUGCUGUGAAAUCCCCGGGCUCAACCUGGGAAUGGCAGUGGAUACUGGCAAGCUAGAGUGUGUCAGAGGAUGGUGGAAUUCCCGGUGUAGCGGUGAAAUGCAUUGAGAUCAGAAAGAACACCAAUGGCGAAAGCACUCUACUGGGCCGACACUGACACUGAGAGACGAAAGCUAGGGGAGCAAAUGGG
rnacentral:rRNA from 1 species